GACGAACCGUGCGAACGUUGUUCGGAAUCACUGGGCUUAAAGGGCGCGUAGGCGGCUUGUCAAGUCAGGGGUGAAAUCUUUCGGCUCAACCGGAAAAGUGCCUUUGAUACUGACAAGCUAGAGGGAAGUAGGGGCAUGUGGAACUUCUGGUGGAGCGGUGAAAUGCGUUGAUAUCAGAAGGAACGCCGGUGGCGAAAGCGACGUGCUGGACUUCUUCUGACGCUGAGGCGCGAAAGCUAGGGGAGCAAACGGG
rnacentral:rRNA from 2 species